AGCAGGGAUCGCAAGACCUUGCGCUGAUUGAGCGGCCGAUAUCAGAUUAGCUAGUUGGUGAGGUAAAGGCUCACCAAGGCGACGAUCUGUAGCGGGUCUGAGAGGAUGAUCCGCCACACUGGAACUGAGACACGGUCCAGACUCCUACGGGAGGCAGCAGUGGGGAAUUUUGGACAAUGGGGGCAACCCUGAUCCAGCCAUGCCGCGUGAGUGAAGAAGGCCUUCGGGUUGUAAAGCUCUUUCGGCCGGGAAGAAAUCGCACGGGCUAAUACCCUGUGUGGAUGACGGUACCGGAAUAAGAAGCACCGGCUAACUACGUGCCAGCAGCCGCGGUAAUACGUAGGGUGCGAGCGUUAAUCGGAAUUACUGGGCGUAAAGCGUGCGCAGGCGGUUUAGUAAGACAGGCGUGAAAUCCCCGGGCUCAACCUAGGAACUGCGCUUGUGACUGCUAAGCUAGAGUACGGCAGAGGGGGGUGGAAUUCCACGUGUAGCAGUGAAAUGCGUAGAGAUGUGGAGGAACACCGAUGGCGAAGGCAGCCCCCUGGGCCGAUACUGACGCUCAUGCACGAAAGCGUGGGUAGCAAACAGGAUUAGAUACCCUGGUAGUCCACGCCCUAAACGAUGUCAACUAGGUGUUGGGUGGGUAAAACCAUUUAGUACCGGAGCUAACGCGUGAAGUUGACCGCCUGGGGAGUACGGCCGCAAG
rnacentral:rRNA from 1 species